rnacentral:rRNA from 1 species
UACGAAGGGGGCUAGCGUUGCUCGGAAUCACUGGGCGUAAAGGGUGCGUAGGCGGGUCUUUUAAGUCAGGGGUGAAAUCCUGGAGCUCAACUCCAGAACUGCCUUUGAUACUGAAGAUCUUGAGUUCGGGAGAGGUGAGUGGAACUGCGAGUGUAGAGGUGAAAUUCGUAGAUAUUCGCAAGAACACCAGCGGCGAAGGCGGCUCACUGGCCCGAUACUGACGCUGAGGCACGAAAGCGUGGGGGGCAAACAGG